AGCGAACGCUGGCGGCAGGCCUAACACAUGCAAGUCGAACGAAGUCUUCGGACUUAGUGGCGGACGGGUGAGUAACACGUGGGAACGUGCCUUUAGGUUCGGAAUAACUCAGGGAAACUUGUGCUAAUACCGAAUGUGCCCUUCGGGGGAAAGAUUUAUCGCCUUUAGAGCGGCCCGCGUCUGAUUAGCUAGUUGGUGAGGUAAAGGCUCACCAAGGCGACGAUCAGUAGCUGGUCUGAGAGGAUGAUCAGCCACAUUGGGACUGAGACACGGCCCAAACUCCUACGGGAGGCAGCAGUGGGGAAUCUUGCGCAAUGGGCGAAAGCCUGACGCAGCCAUGCCGCGUGAAUGAUGAAGGUCUUAGGAUUGUAAAAUUCUUUCACCGGGGACGAUAAUGACGGUACCCGGAGAAGAAGCCCCGGCUAACUUCGUGCCAGCAGCCGCUGUAAAAC
rnacentral:rRNA from 1 species